GUCUCCAACUCCUGACCUCAGGUGAUCCGCCCGCCUCGGCCUCCCAAAGUGCUGGGAUUACAGGCGUGAGCCACUGCGCCCAGUCGCCCAGUUAAUUUUUAAAUUUUUAAAUUUUUUUGUAGAGACAGCGUCUUGCUAUAUUACCCCGGCUGGUUUCGAAUUCUCGGCCUUAAGCUAUCCUCCCACUUCGGGCUCCCAAACAGGUGAGAGCUACCCCAUUAGCCAGGCAGGCAUUCAAACUUUAUCAGGCCCAGAGGGACUUGAGUAU
rnacentral:lncRNA from 1 species